CACCCUGGCAGAAAGCAUCACAAAACCUGCUGCGAGUCUGGCCCCAAUUAUGGGUCAUAACACCUCUUGUUUAACAGAACACAUCAAGGGAAGGGAAGGCUGGCUGAAGAUUUUUAAAUACAGUGGAUAAUUGAUUUGUUCCUACGACUCUGCUGAUGGGACCCUGAACGAAUCACUGGAAGUAAUACACACGUGCACUGGUUGCCUGUACCAAAUGCUGAAGAAACCAAGAGAAAGAGCCAAUGUAUACUGUACCUGAUGUGUGAGAAAAUAUACACAAAUCCUAUUAGGCACAGAGCUGGAUAUGUAAGGGAGAUCAACUCCAUGUUGCUGGGAUGCUUCCUCACUGAAUCAAAAUUAGUCUCACAGCUGGAGAGGAGACAGUUCCUGAUAAUGUUCUAACAACACCGAGCACUAACAAAUCUGACCUCAGGUGUAGGGCUGAUAAUUCAUAAAGCAGUUAUUUCCAAAUGCCCUAACAGCAUUGCAGACAGCAGGUGUUCUGGGAGCACUGGCUCCUCCACACACAUCAAUGCUUGGAUCAAUAGCCAGUAAGCAUGAGUCAAGCCUACUUGUUUUAGUACAUAUAUAUAUACACACACACACAAGACGACAGGAGGAGGGGGUGCAAAUAUUUUUCCACCGCUUUGAUGGUCUUCUUCUCUUUCAGGCCGCUAAGGGUCUCUGUCGAAGAUGUAAAAAAGAGGCUUUGAGAUGAAAAGGAGCUCAUGGCUUUAACCCCGAGCCACCACCUCCCUCCGCUCCCACCCCCAACUCCCGAAAAAUAACUCGCAGAAGCAGACCCAGAGGCGAUUUGGAUGAACUAAAUCCGAUCGAGGUAGUAUCAAUGCUGGCAUUAAAACCAACCCGGAGAGAAUAUCAAUAACAGCAUUAAAACAGCGGGUCCCAACCAGGAUCAAUCAGGCGUGGAAACAGCAUAGAAUCUAUCAACGUGUCUGAAGUCACAGGGAUUUUAAAAAAACUGACUUCCUCUUUAUUGAAGACUCGAUCUAUUUCUUUACAUUCCGUGCAAGUUUAUCUUUCCUGGUCAAUGGUAACGCUUUUACCUGGUAAUCUUAGUGAAUAUAGACUACCGAGUCUAUUACUCUUAGGCAAUGCAUUUAUGUAAUUGUUUUCUGUAAAUUAGAGUUAACUGCUAGCAAUUCAAGUUACAUGUGGUACGGAAAUUUUAUACACAAUUUUCCCCAGGCUGCGUUUCGAAUUUUCCUCACUUUUGAUUGAAUUUGUUUUGUAACCGUUUCAUAGCAAAAGCAUCAAUUGCCCCACAACCCUCCUUGUCCUUGUUUCACACACGACAGUGGCCAUUUGAUGCAUAUUAGACAGAGAGCUGCAUGUGCAUUUGGACUGGUUGUGUCUGUAUGGGUGGUAUUCGGGGUAUUUCAAACUAGUCUCUGUUACUCUUCAGUUAGUGUCAGGUUCCAUCAUUUCCACUGCUUUUCAGUUGGCCGCCAUGUUUUUGGUGACAUUUUAACGACCCGGAUUUGGAUUUGGAGUUACCUGCUGAGAGAAAAGUCAAAUCAAAACACUGUUCGCUCUUUAGCCAAAGUAAGUGAUUCCGCUAAACCGAGUUCUAAUUUUCUCUCUUCCUCCAAAGCCGUACAUAAGAAUGACUCCUUCCCAAACUAUUUUUGUAUUUGGUACAAUAAGAAUGGACGCAUAUGUAUUUCAAUUUUUAAACGUU